AAUGAACGCUGGGCGGCAUGCCUAACACAUGCAAGUCGAACGAAGCCUUCGGGCUUAGUGGCGCACGGGUGCGUAACGCGUGGGAAUCUACCCUUGGGUUCGGAAUAACAGUUAGAAAUGACUGCUAAUACCGGAUGAUGACGUAAGUCCAAAGAUUUAUCGCCCAGGGAUGAGCCCGCGUAGGAUUAGCUAGUUGGUGAGGUAAAAGCUCACCAAGGCGACGAUCCUUAGCNGGUCUGAGAGGAUGAUCAGCCA
rnacentral:rRNA from 1 species